GACGAACGCUGGCGGCGUGCUUAACACAUGCAAGUCGAACGGAAAGGCCCUGCUUUUGUGGGGUGCUCGAGUGGCGAACGGGUGAGUAACACGUGAGUAACCUGCCCUUGACUUUGGGAUAACUUCAGGAAACUGGGGCUAAUGCCGGAUAGGAGCUCCUGCUGCAUGGUGGGGGUUGGAAAGUUUCGGCGGUUGGGGAUGGACUCGCGGCUUAUCAGCUUGUUGGUGGGGUAGUGGCUUACCAAGGCUUUGACGGGUCGCCGGCCUGAGAGGGUGACCGGCCACAUUGGGACUGAGAUACGGCCCAGACUCCUACGGGAGGCAGCAGUGGGGAAUAUUGCAGAGUGGGCGGAAGCCUGAUGCAGCAGCGCCGCGUGCGGGAUGCCGGCCUUCGGGUUGUAAACCGCUUUCGCCUGUGACGAAGCGUGAGUGACGGUAAUGGGUAAAGAAGCAACGGCUAACUACGUG
rnacentral:rRNA from 1 species